GACGAACGCUAGCGGCGUGCUUAACACAUGCAAAUCGAGCGAUGAAAUUCCUUCGGGAAUGGAUUAGCGGCGGACGGGUGAGUAACACGUGGGUAACCUGCCUCAUAGAGGGGAAUAGCCUUCCGAAAGGAAGAUUAAUACCGCAUAAGAUUGUAGUACCACAUGGUACAGCAACUAAAGGAGUAAUCCGCUAUGAGAUGGACCCGCGUCGCAUUAGCUAGUUGGUGAGGUAACGGCUCACCAAGGCGACGAUGCGUAGCCGACCUGAGAGGGUGAUCGGCCACAUUGGGACUGAGACACGGCCCAGACUCCUACGGGAGGCAGCAGUGGGGAAUAUUGCACGAUGGGGGAAACCCUGAUGCAGCAACGCCGCGUGAGUGAUGACGGUCUCCGGAUUGUAAAACUCUGUCUUCAGGGGCGAUAAUGACGGUACCUGAGGAGGAAGCCACGGCUAACUACGUGCCAGCCGCCGCCGUAA
rnacentral:rRNA from 1 species